rnacentral:rRNA from 1 species
UGCCAGCCGCCGCGGUAAUACGGAGGGAGCUAGCGUUGUUCGGAAUUACUGGGCGUAAAGAGCGUGUAGGCUGUUAGGUAAGUCAGAGGUGAAAUCCCUAAGCUCAACUUAGGAACUGCCUUUGAUACUAUCUUACUAGAGAACGAGAGAAGUUGGCGGAAUUCCAAGUGUAGAGGUGAAAUUCGUAGAUAUUUGGAAGAACACCAGUGGCGAAAGCGGCCAACUGGCUCGUUUCUGACGCUGAGACGCGAAAGCGUGGGUAGCAAACAGGAUUAGAUA